UACAGAGGUCUCGAGCGUUAGGCGGAAUCACUGGGCUUAAAGCGUGUGUAGGUGGAUCGUUAAGUACCUUGUGAAAUCCCACGGCUUAACCGUGGAACUGCUUGGUAUAUUGGCGGUCUUGAGCCACUUAGGGGCUACCGGAACAAAUGGUGGAGCGGUGAAAUGCGUAGAUAUCAUUUGGAACGCCAAUGGUGAAAACAGGUAGCUGGGAGUGUGCUGACACUGAGACACGAAAGCCAGGGGAGCAAACGGG
rnacentral:rRNA from 1 species